rnacentral:lncRNA from 1 species
AGGAUUAUAAUUAGAGAGUCAGAUUGGGAUUUUUACUUGGAUAUGUUGGCUGAAAAAAUAAAAGCAAAAAGACUAAGGAGGAUAAAAUAAGAUGAGAAAGGAAUGUGUUUUUCCAUUCACAUCUUAAGUAAAACAAUGAGUCUUAAUAUAGAUUGUACAGAUAACUAACAAACCAAAAUACAUGGAAUAAGAUACGCUAGAUAUGCAGAUACCUUAAUAGCCACUGACAAGGAACAAACAUUGAAGAAAAUCUAUUGCAUACGCAAAUAAAUGAGAACUAACUUAUAUGCAGAUAAAUCUGCUGCGUAUGCAUAUUUCAAAUUUAUAGUAACUAAUUUUGACCCAUUUACUUGGGUGAUUGAUUUUGAAUCAUUCUCAACAUGCUCUUUUGAUUCAGAAUCAUAUAUGCCUAAUUACUGUUGAAAAUAAUCAUGUUUUAGCUGAGACAAAGACUUCGUAAAUAAAUCAGUAACUUGAUCAUUUGUGCCAUAAAAUUCCAGCACUAUUUCUCAAUUUGCUAUUAGUCUUCAAAUGAAAUGAUUUUUAUGCUUCGUUAUAUCAUGAAAAGCUGGAUUUUUUU